ensembl:lncRNA
CUUUUUCUUCCAGUUGCAACUGAUUGAUACUAUGGAGAAAAGAGAGAAGAGGGCUCCCAGUGUGACUGCAGGCUCUAAAUAUGUCUGGAAAAGGUUUUCCCAGACCUGCAGACCUGCCUGAGGCCAUUUCCAAGCCAGUUGUGGACUCAUACCAGACCUGGAAGACUGGAAACCUGCUGAGCAAGGAUGGAGGCUAUAAACAACCUAGCUGCAUUAAUGAGUGUUUGGUGUCUAGCUUUUCUUUUCGGUCUCAUCUGAAAAGGUGAUGUCUCAUCAGACUGGGAUGAUGGUAAAAAGGCACAGAACACCAGCAUGAGCUGCAUUUCAAUCAGUGGGGCUGCCUAGCUUUGAAGAGUUCAGAAUCAAAAGCACUAGAAGAACAAAUACAGAGCUCACAUGGUUUCCAUCUUCAAGGUUUCCCUUCAUCUGAUGGAAAUCUGUAGGGGAGGCAGACAGAAGGCUCAAGCAAGAAUGACCUGUCAAGAAUACUUACGGCUUUAUGGUUAACUUUCUCCUGAAUGUGAACGUGGUGCUUCCUGACAACAUACAAGAUUCAGCAAUAUAAAACCUAGGUGCUAACCAACUGAGACCUUCAAAGAAGAAGGCAUAGAGGCUUCGGAAUUUGGAAUCACACAAAAAUUGGAUCAUCUGAGACGCACAAUUUUUUUCUUUAACAUUAGUUAAACAUAGACUUGAACUGUUUUAGAUAGGGCAACUACAAGUUUGCAUUUUAGUGCUGUUCAGUUUUUCAUAACAGACUGUGGACAGCAACAGCAAAGAUUUCCAGGUGCAGUUCUGAGCCUUAUCUUUAUGUGAAGCAAUCACUUUAGGAGUCAGAACAUAUAAGAAAGUUCUUUUCAGCCAGUGUUUGACCUGACUGCUAAGCAAACAUGGCACGUGCUGCAAUGUUUAUUUACCUGGUACAAACUGAACUAAGCCACCAAACCAUGUACAACCUAGAAGGCAGCACUUGGCCACCGCUCCAACUUACAUUUCAGGUUAGACACCGUAGGAAGGAAACUCGGUAUUUCCAUUGUGAAGCCAUAGAUUCACAGAACCAUAUAGGUUGAAAAAGAACCAUAAGAUUAUCAAGUCCAGCUGCCCCCUAACACUAAACCAUGUCCCCAAGCCACACAUUCACACAUCUUUUAAAUAGCUUCAGAAAUGGCAACUCCAGCACUUCCCUGGGCAGCCUGUCCCAAUGCCUAGCCAGCCUUUCCAUGAGGAAAUUCCUCUCCUGAUGCAACUUGAGGCUGCAAUCAAUGGGAAGAGAGAUGGUCUGUGGUAGUGAUGAUGGAUAGGUGACUUGGGAAUGUGAGAAACCCUCUACAGUGCUUAAGGAGUAAUCUUCUUCCAAUCUUUCAUUCUGCUCCAGUGGUCAAACACUCAUCCCAGACUGAGCUGCUAGGCACUUCCUGUCAGUCUGAUAUGCCUGGCAAUGGUACCACAUUCUCUCAGGAGCACCAAUGCCAACCUUACUAAGUCAGCUGAAACAUUUCAGUCAUUUAAGACCAUUUUAACUCAGUCCACUAAGUUCCCUUUAUCCAUCACAUUAUCGUGGAUCUUCCAUUCUCACCUUCGGUGCCCUGCAAAACUGUACACUUUCUAUGCAUACAGGUUUGCUCUCUGCACUUACCAUUGACAUCAGCUUUGAUGUCCCACUUAUCUGUCUACUGCAAGUUUCUCCAUGCCAUUCUGACCUAUUCGUGAGAUGCAGUGCCAAUUCCGGUUCACUGAAUUUGAACUUUUC